rnacentral:rRNA from 1 species
UACGGGGGGUGCAAGCGUUGUUCGGAAUUACUGGGCGUAAAGGGCUCGUAGGCGGCCUACUAAGUCGGACGUGAAAUCCCUCGGCUUAACCGGGGAACUGCGUCUGAUACUGGAUGGCUAGAGUUUGGGAGAGGGAUGCGGAAUUCCAGGUGUAGCGGUGAAAUGCGUAGAUAUCGGGAGGAAUACCGGUGGCGAAGGCGGCAUCCUGGACCGACAUUGACGCUGAGGAGCGAAAGCUAGGGGAGCAAACGGG